AUCUUACUUGAGGAUCGCCUUUCGGGAGAUCUGUAAUUCAUUGAAGUUUUUAAUAACAGAGGAAGAUUUCGACUCGUCGUGUACGAACGUAGGCACCUGCCGACGCGCCAUUGUUAGAUGAGGUGAACGCCACUUUUUCGCCAUGCUAUCCUACCGGCAAGAUAUUCCGUAUACAUAACACGUCAUGUACAUCUCGGGGGAUCAUUAUGCCGUCCACAGAAGGCAGUCAAUUUCCUCGUAGCGGUAGCGAACUGUCAAAGAAUUGUCUCACUUCUGGGCUGAAUGACUUCCGCCUAAUAGCCGGUUUUGUGUCCCGCGAUCUUCUUUCUACACACGCUCUCAAGGACACGAUCGCCGAAGAUUACCAUUUUGAACUUGUUUGGUAAUGUCGUGGAUGCGGGACGAUCAUCCCGUCUCGUGAGAAUGGAGAAAAGGAAGAAAAGCAAGAGAGCGUCCGAGGGAUACAAGGCGAGAUUCGAAGGCUCGAUCUAGUAUCGAGCUUUUACGAGCGAUCCGUGAUCGGAAAGGAGAGGCAAUCACCUCGUCUCUUCAAAGAAGAAUCGCUAUCGUGGUUGUGGCGUCGUUAAGUCGACGUUCAACGAGAAUACGAGACGGUGGGAACGGGACCUCGAUAUUCUGUCCUCUACCUGCUUGUCUAUUCUCCGUCGUUCCUUUCCCCUCUUCUCCUUCCAUUUCUUUCACCGUGUUUAAUUUCGUCACUCUGUCCCUUCGAAUUACGUUUUAAUUGGCCACGCGAUUGCCACGACAAUGCUGUUCAUCGCGUAGGAAGUAAUCAACGGGCCAUAAUGAAGAGUAACAGCGAUGCCGGCUGAAGACGCGUAGUGUGAAUCAAUGGAAAAAAUAAUGAGUCGCGAUCCGGUUCCCGAUUUAUUACUGAUAUUCGAGUGUUCAUUCAGUGUUUUCAAUUGGAAGUUAAUAGUGCAUAUCAAAAGGUCAAUCCGCGGGGAACUAGGUGAAAUGGUAUUGAAAGGAAGAAAGAUUGUGUUUAUCGGGUCUGAUUGUGAGCUGUUAAUUAACAGUAACUCGGUUAAGAGAGCCGCGAAGGAUGGAUGAUGAAACGAAAGAAGCGUGUUCGGUGAUUUAAUGAGACCGACCGUGAUCUCUAUCCUCUCGUUCGAGCGUUUUGUUUUCUGUUUUUUUUUUUUUUUUUUUUUUUUUUUUUUUCUUUCAAUUAAGAGUCGUUGUCUCUGUUUUAAUAAUUUUGAUUUGGUACUGCUAUUGAUAUAUUUGUGAAAUGGCGUGUUUGUCGAAUGAAUGAACGAUGGACAGGAAAAGUGAUUCUCUCUCGUAUGUUAACUGUGAUCCUCGUAAUAAGGAAAUUGUAAUUUAUUUACCAUUGAUAGACUAAUUUAUUUAGCUAACUCUGAAAUAGAAUAGGCAAGGAAAUAAAAGUUGGUAAACGAGCAA